rnacentral:rRNA from 1 species
UACGGGGGGGGGCAAGCGUUGUUCGGAAUUACUGGGCGUAAAGGGCUCGUAGGUGGCCAACUAAGUCAGACGUGAAAUCCCUCGGCUUAACCGGGGAACUGCGUCUGAUACUGGAUGGCUUGAGUUUGGGAGAGGGACGCGGAAUUCCAGGUGUAGCGGUGAAAUGCGUAGAUAUCUGGAGGAACACCGGUGGCGAAGGCGGCGAUCCUGGACCAUGACUGACGCUGAGGAGCGAAAGCCAGGGGAGCAAAGCGGG